rnacentral:rRNA from 1 species
UGGAGGAAACUCUGAUGCUGCGAUGCCGCGUGAGUGAAGAAGGCCUUUGGGUUGUAAAGCUCUUUUGUAGGGGAAGAUAAUGACUGUACCCUAAGAAUAAGGUCCGGCUAACUUCGUGCCAGCAGCCGCGGUAAUACGAAGGGACCUAGCGUAGUUCGGAAUUACUGGGCGUAAAGCGCGCGUAGGCCGUUGAGUUAGUUAAUUGUGAAAUCCCAAAGCUUAACUUUGGAACUGCAAUUAAAACUGCUCGACUAGAGUUUGAUAGAGGAAAGCGGAAUACAUAGUGUAGAGGUGAAAUUCGUAGAUAUUAUGUAGAACACCAGUUGCGAAGGCGGCUUUCUGGGUCAACACUGACGCUGAGGCGCGAAAGUAUGGGUAGCAAAGAGGAUUAGAUACCCUCGUAGUCCAUACCAUAAACGAUGAUUGCUAGAUGUUGGAAAUUUAUUUUCAGUAUCGCAGCUAACGCAUUAAGCAAUCCGCCUGGGGAGUACGACCGCAAGGUUAAAACUCAAAUGAAUUGACGGGGACCCGCACAAGCGGUGGAGCAUGUGGUUUAAUUCGAAGAUACGCGCAGAACCUUACCAACCCUUGACAUGUCUGUCGCGAGUUUAGGAAACUAGACUUUUCGGUUCGGCCGGACAGAACACAGGUGCUGCAUGGCUGUCGUCAGCUCGUGUCGUGAGAUGUUGGGGU